UACCAUGGUGGGUUCAAAGUCCGACAUGGCCAAGUCCAUCCAUCAGUGCAUAUUAGGUCUUUUUACAUCUUUUCACAUUUUUCCUCAAUUUAGGGUUUUUUAAUUCCUAAUUUUCUAUCACUCAUAUUUCUUUGUUUUUUUGUGCUUAC